AUUGAACGCUGGCGGAAUGCUUUACACAUGCAAGUCGAACGGCAGCACGGACUUCGGUCUGGUGGCGAGUGGCGAACGGGUGAGUAAUGUAUCGGAACGUGCCCAGUCGUGGGGGAUAACGUAGUGAAAAUUACGCUAAUACCGCAUACGAUCUAUGGAUGAAAGCGGGGGAUCGCAAGAUCUCGCGCGAUUGGAGCGGCCGAUAUCAGAUUAGGUAGUUGGUGGGGUAAAGGCCCACCAAGCCAACGAUCUGUAGCUGGUCUGAGAGGACGGCCAGCGACACUGGAACUACGACAGGGUCCAGAAUCCUUCGGGAGGCACCAGUGGGGAAUUUUGGACAAUGGGCGAAAGCCUGAUCCAGCCAUUCCGCUUGCAGGAUGAGGUCCCUCGGGUUGUAAACUGCUUUUGUACAGAACGAAAAGGUUUCUACUAAUACUAGGAGCUCAUGACGGUACUGUAAGAAUAAGCACCGGCUAACUACGUGCCAGCAGCCGCCGUAA
rnacentral:rRNA from 1 species